AUUGAACGCUGGCGGCAUGCCUUACACAUGCAAGUCGAACGGCAGCACGGGAGCAAUCCUGGUGGCGAGUGGCGAACGGGUGAGUAAUACAUCGGAACGUGCCCAGUAGUGGGGGAUAACCCGGCGAAAGCCGGACUAAUACCGCAUACGACCUACGGGUGAAAGCGGGGGAUCGUAAGAACUCGCUCUAUCGGAGCGGCCGAUGUCAGAUUAGCUAGUUGGUGGGGUAAAGGCCUACCAAGGCGACGAUCUGUAGCUGGUCUGAGAGGACGACCAGCAACACUGGAACUGAGACACGGCCCAGACUCCUACGGGAGGCAGCAGUGGGGAAUUUUGGACAUUGGGCGCAAGCCUGAUCCAGCCAUGCCGCGUGCGGGAAGAAGGCCUUCGGGUUGUAAACCGCUUUUGUCAGGGAAGAAACGCUCCGGGCUAAUACCACGGAGUAAUGACGGUACCUGAAGAAUAAGCACCGGCUAACUACGUG
rnacentral:rRNA from 1 species